rnacentral:rRNA from 1 species
AACGAACGCUGGCGGCAGGCCUAACACAUGCAAGUCGAGCGCACUCUUCGGAGUGAGCGGCGGACGGGUUAGUAACGCGUGGGAACGUACCCUUUUCUGCGGAAUAGCCUCUGGAAACGGAGAGUAAUACCGCAUACGCCCUUUGGGGGAAAGAAUUUCGGUGAAGGAUCGGCCCGCGUUAGAUUAGGUAGUUGGUGGGGUAACGGCCUACCAAGCCUACGAUCUAUAGCUGGUUUGAGAGGAUGAUCAGCAACACUGGGACUGAGACACGGCCCAGACUCCUACGGGAGGCAGCAGUGGGGAAUCUUGGACAAUGGGCGCAAGCCUGAUCCAGCCAUGCCGCGUGAGUGACGAAGGCCCUAGGGUCGUAAAGCUCUUUCAACUGUGAAGAUAAUGACGGUAGCAGUAGAAGAAACCCCGGCUAACUCCGUGCCAGCCGCCGCGGUAACAC